GUCUAUUCCAGCGCCUCCAAUUUCAGUCUCUCUGGUCUCAAGUGUGAGUGAAGAUGGGUGGCAAUCUGCAAGUUUCGUGCUUUGGAAGGGUGAAUUCUUACUGAAAAACCAUAUGCAUCUUACCGACCAUAUUAAUUUAUUGCUAAGGUUUCCUCAUACCAGUGGUAAAUAUAGCACUGAAGAAACUUUUAAAUCAAACUUCACUUCAGUCUACAAUGACACUACGAAUUAUUUCAGGCUGUUUAAAGAAUGCUGAGUUGUCAAGCGAGGUGCUGCAGUGGCUGGCGUUGCCGGGCAUGGGACGACGUCUCUAGGCUCCUGCCUGAGGCAAGCCUCUCCGGUCUCCUCGGAUGCCCUCUAG
rnacentral:lncRNA from 1 species